GUGGAUUAGAUACCCUGGUAGUCCUAGCCGUAAACGAUGUAGACUUGGCGUUGGCGGGUUUAAAUCCGUCGGUGCCGAAGCAAACGCGAUAAGUCUACCGCCUGGGGGGUACGGCCGCAAGGUUAAAACUCAAAGGAAUUGACGGGGGCCCGCACAAGCAGCGGAGCGUGUGGUUUAAUUCGAUGCUACACGAAGAACCUUACCAGGGUUUGACAUGUAGGUGGUAGUGAAACGAAAGUAGAACGACCCUUCGGGGAGCCUGCACAGGUGCUGCACGGCCGUCGACAGCU
rnacentral:rRNA from 1 species